CAGUCGCCGCGGUAAUACAGAGGGUGCAAGCGUUAAUCGGAAUUACUGGGCGUAAAGCGCGCGUAGGUGGUUCGUUAAGUUGGAUGUGAAAUCCCCGGGCUCAACCUGGGAACUGCAUCCAAAACUGGCGAGCUAGAGUAGGGCAGAGGGUGGUGGAAUUUCCUGUGUAGCGGUGAAAUGCGUAGAUAUAGGAAGGAACACCAGUGGCGAAGGCGACCACCUGGGCUCAUACUGACACUGAGGUGCGAAAGCGUGGGGAGCAAACAGGAUUAGAUACCCCCGUAGUCCCUGUCUCUUAUAA
rnacentral:rRNA from 1 species